rnacentral:siRNA from 1 species
UCCCGCCAAAUUUAUUUUUCCCGC